UACAGAGGGUGCGAGCGUUGUCCGGAAUCACUGGGCGUAAAGGGCGCGUAGGUGGCCUGAUAAGUAGGGGGUGAAAUCUCGUGGCUCAACUGCGAGGCUGCCUCCUAAACUGUCGGGCUUGAGCAGAGUAGAGGCAGGUGGAAUUCCCGGUGUAGCGGUGGAAUGCGUAGAGAUCGGGAAGAACAUCGGUGGCGAAGGCGGCCUGCUGGGCUCUUGCUGACACUGAGGCGCGACAGCGUGGGGAGCAAACAGG
rnacentral:rRNA from 1 species